rnacentral:rRNA from 2 species
GAGUUUGAUCGUGGCUCAGAUUGAACGCUGGCGGCAGGCCUAACACAUGCAAGUCGAGCGGAUGACGGGAGCUUGCUCCUUGAUUCAGCGGCGGACGGGUGAGUAAUGCCUAGGAAUCUGCCUGGUAGUGGGGGACAACGUUUCGAAAGGAACGCUAAUACCGCAUACGUCCUACGGGAGAAAGCAGGGGACCUUCGGGCCUUGCGCUAUCAGAUGAGCCUAGGUCGGAUUAGCUAGUUGGUGGGGUAAUGGCUCACCAAGGCGACGAUCCGUAACUGGUCUGAGAGGAUGAUCAGUCACACUGGAACUGAGACACGGUCCAGACUCCUACGGGAGGCAGCAGUGGGGAAUAUUGGACAAUGGGCGAAAGCCUGAUCCAGCCAUGCCGCGUGUGUGAAGAAGGUCUUCGGAUUGUAAAGCACUUUAAGUUGGGAGGAAGGGCAGUAAGUUAAUACCUUGCUGUUUUGACGUUACCGACAGAAUAAGCACCGGCUAACUCUGUGCCAGCAGCC